GUGAAUCAUCGAAUUUUUGAACGCAAAUUGCACUCUCUGGUAUUCCGUAGAGUAUGCUUGUUUUAGGGUCAGGUUAAAUAAAAAUCGGUGUGGUUUCUUCCUUUCGUGGUGACGCACCGGAUUUUGGUCGUCUUUCCUUCGUUUAAGUUACCUAAAAUUGUGCAUGAUUUUUUUCGAACUGUUUUAAAUGAUUUUACGUACGUUGGCGAGAUCUAAUACGAUGUGGGUUCAUCCUCAUGAUUCGCGCC
rnacentral:misc_RNA from 1 species